GGCGAACGGCUGAGUAACACGUGAGUGACCUGUCCUUGGAUGGGGGAUAACAGUCCGAAAGGAUUGCUAAUACCGCAUAAGUCCUCUAGGGUAGAGCCUAGAGGGGAAAGGUAUUUCGCCCGUGGAGGGGCUCGCGGCCCAUCAGGUAGUUGGUGAGGUAAUGGCUCACCAAGCCGAUGACGGGUAGCUGGUCUGAGAGGAUGGCCAGCCAGACUGGGACUGAGACACGGCCCAGACUCCUACGGGAGGCAGCAGUUAGGAAUCUUGCGCAAUGGGGGAAACCCUGACGCAGCGACGCCGCGUGGGUGAUGAAGGCCUUCGGGUCGUAAAGCCCUUUUCCGAGGGACGAUAAUGACGGUACCUCGGGAAUAAGCCCCGGCUAACUACGUGCCAGCAGCCGCGGUAAUACGUAGGGGGCGAGCGUUGUCCGGAUUUACUGGGCGUAAAGAGCGCGCAGGCGGUUCCGCAAGUCGAUCGUGAAAUCCCUCGGCUCAACCGAGGGGGGUCGGUCGAUACUGUGGGACUUGAGGGCGGUA
rnacentral:rRNA from 1 species